rnacentral:rRNA from 1 species
AGCGAACGCUGUCGGCAGGCUUAACACAUGCAAGUCGAGCGGGCGUAGCAAUACGUCAGCGGCAGACGGGUGAGUAACGCGUGGGAACGUACCUUUUGGUUCGGAACAACACAGGGAAACUUGCGCUAAUACCGGAUAAGCCCUUACUGGGAAAGAUUUAUCGCCGAAAGAUCGGCCCGCUUAUGAUUAGCUAGUUGGUUAGGUAAGGGCUCACCAAGGCGACCAUCAGUAGCUGGUCUUAGGGGCUGAUCAGCCACAUUGGGACUGAGACACGGCCCAAACUCCUGCGGGAGGCUGCAGUGGGGAAGAUUGGACAAUGGGGGCAACCCUGAUCCAGCCAUGCCGCGUGGUUGAUGAAGGCCCUAGGGUUGUAAGGCUCUUUUGUGCGGGAAGAUAAUGACGGUACCGCAAGAAUAAGCCCCGGCUAACUUCGUGCCAGCAGCCGCGGUAACAC